GACGAACGCUGGCGGCGUGCCUAAUACAUGCAAGUAGAACGCACAGUUUAUACCGUAGCUUGCUACACCAUAGACUGUGAGUUGCGAACGGGUGAGUAACGCGUAGGUAACCUGCCUGGUAGCGGGGGAUAACUAUUGGAAACGAUAGCUAAUACCGCAUAAUAUUGAUUAUUGCAUGAUAAUUAAUUGAAAGGUGCAAUUGCACCACUACUAGAUGGACCUGCGUUGUAUUAGCUAGUAGGUGAGGUAACGGCUCACCUAGGCGACGAUACAUAGCCGACCUGAGAGGGUGGGUGGCCACACUGGGACUGAGACACGGCCCAGACUCCUACGGGAGGCAGCAGUAGGGAAUCUUCGGCAAUGGACGGAAGUCUGACCGAGCAACGCCGCGGGAGUGAGGAAGGUUUUCGGGUCGUAAAGCUCUGUUGUAAGGGAAGAACGGGUGUGAGAGUGGAAAGUUCACACUGUGACGGUAUCUUACCAGAAAGGGACGGCUAACUACGUG
rnacentral:rRNA from 1 species